rnacentral:rRNA from 1 species
GAUGAACGCUGGCGGCGUGCCUAAUACAUGCAAGUCGAGCGAACAGACGAGGAGCUUGCUCCUCUGACGUUAGCGGCGGACGGGUGAGUAACACGUGGAUAACCUACCUAUAAGACUGGGAUAACUUCGGGAAACCGGAGCUAAUACCGGAUAAUAUAUUGAACCGCAUGGUUCAAUAGUGAAAGACGGUUUUGCUGUCACUUAUAGAUGGAUCCGCGCCGCAUUAGCUAGUUGGUAAGGUAACGGCUUACCAAGGCAACGAUGCGUAGCCGACCUGAGAGGGCGAUCGGCCACACUGGAACUGAGACACGGUCCAGACUCCUGCGGGAGGCAGCAGUAGGGAAUCUUCCGCAAUGGGCGAAAGCCUGACGGAGCAACGCCGCGUGAGUGAUGAAGGUCUUCGGAUCGUAAAACUCUGUUAUUAGGGAAGAACAAAUGUGUAAGUAACUAUGCACGUCUUGACGGUACCUAAUCAGAAAACCACGGCUAACUACGU